rnacentral:rRNA from 1 species
CUACGGGAGGCGGCAGUAGGGAAUAUUGCACAAUGGGGGAAACCCUGAUGCAGCGACGCCGCGUGAGUGAUGAAGGCCUUCGGGUCGUAAAGCUCUGUCGUAUGGGAAUAACAAAAUGAAUGUACCAUGCAAGAAAGGAUCGGCUAACUUCGUGCCAGCAGCCGCGGUAAGACGAGGGAUCCUAGCGUUGUUCGGAAUUAUUGGGCGUAAAGCGGGUGUAGGUGGACUUAUAAGUCAGGUGUGAAAUCCCAGGGCUCAACCCUGGAAGUGCAUUUGAUACUGUAAGUCUUGAAUGUGGUAGAGGUUACUAGAAUUCCUGGUGUAGUGGUGAAAUACGUAGAUAUCAGGAGGAAUACCAGAGGCGAAGGCGGGUAACUGGACCGACAUUGACACUGAGACCCGAAAGCGUGGGGAUCAAACAGGAUUAGAUACCCUGGU